rnacentral:rRNA from 1 species
CACCAAUACCAUACCACCCUGAACAUGCCAGAUCUCAUCUGAUCUCGGAAGCUAAGCAGGGUCAGGCCUGGUUAGUUCUUGGAUGGGAAAAAUCGCUUUUUACAGU